rnacentral:rRNA from 1 species
GACGAACCGUGCGAACGUUAUUCGGAAUCACUGGGCUUAAAGCGCGUGUAGGCGGGACGGCACGUCGGUCGUUGAAAUCCCCCGGCUCAACCGGGGAACGGGCGCCGAUACGACCGUCCUGGAGGGACGUAGGGGGACCUGGAACUUCCGGUGGAGCGGUGAAAUGCGUAGAUAUCGCUUGGAACGCCAAAGGUGAAAACAGGUUGCUGGGGUUGUGCCGACGCUGAGACACGAAAGCCAGGGGAGCAAACGGG